GUUCAUGGUUACGAAGCUGCUGAUCCCAACCCGUGGGAGAGAAGGGGGUCUCUGACAGCUCCCACCCCUCCCCACUGCCAGAUCUUUAUUGGGUCUGAGUUUCAGGGGUGGGGCCCCGGCUGGAGGUUAUAAAACAGCUCAAUCAAGGAGUACAACCUUCGGUUUCUCUUCGGGGAAAGCUGCUUUCAGCACACACGGGAAGAUAUCGGAAACAUCCUAGGAUCAGGACACCCCAGAUCUUCUCGACUGUAGGCACGAAGGCUGUUUCUUCCACACAGCACUUUGAUCUGCAUUUAAGCAGGCACCUCUGUCCUGCGUUCCAGAGCUGCGUUCGCAAUGCUCCUCCUUUGGCUCACGCUGCUCCUGAGCGCCAUGCUCUGUCUCCUGCAAACGAAGGAGGAUCCAAACCCACCAAUCACGAACCUAAGGAUGAAAGCAAAGGCUCAGCAGUUGGCCUGGGACCUUAACAGAAAUGUGACCGAUAUUGAGUGUGUCAAAGACGCCGACUAUUCGAUGCAGGCAAUGAACAAUAGCUAUUGCCAGUUCGGAGCAAUUUCCUUAUGUGAAGUGACCAACUACACCAUCCGAGUGGCCAACCCACCGUUCUCCACGUGGAUCCUCUUCCCUGAGAACAGUGGGAAGCCUCGGGCAGGUGCGGAGAAUCUGACCUGCUGGAUUCACGAUGUGGAUUUCUUGAGCUGCAGCUGGGCAGUAGGCCCAGCGGCCCCUGCUGAUGUCCAGUACGACCUGUACUUGAACAUUGCCAACAGGCGUCAACAGUACGAGUGUCUUCACUACAAAACGGAUGCUCGGGGAACACGUAUCGGGUGUCGUUUCGAUGACAUUUCUCGACUCUCCAGCGGUUCUCAAAGUUCCCACAUCCUGGUGAGGGGCAGGAGCGCAGCCUUCAGUAUCCCCUGCACAGAUAAGUUUGUCGUCUUUUCACAGAUUGAGAUAUUAACUCCACCCAACAUGACUGCAAAGUGUAAUAAGACACAUUCCUUCAUGCACUGGAAAAUGAGAAGUCAUUUCAAUCGCAAAUUUCGCUAUGAGCUUCAGAUACAAAAGAGGAUGCAGCCUGUAAUCACAGAACAGGUCAGAGACAGAACCUCCUUCCAGCUGCUCAAUCCUGGAACGUACACAGUGCAAAUAAGAGCCCGCGAAACAGUGUAUGAAUUCUUGAGCGCCUGGAGCACCCCCCAGCGCUUCGAGUGCGACCAGGAGGAGGGCGCAAACACGCGUGCCUGGCGGACGUCGCUGCUGAUCGCGCUGGGGACGCUGCUGGCCCUGGUGUGUAUCUUCCUGAUCUGCAGAAGGUAUCUGGUGAUGCAGAGACUCUUUCCCCGCAUCCCUCACGUGAAAGACCCCAUUGGUGACAGCUUCCAAGACAACAAGCUGUACAGAUGGGGUUUCACCAUGUUGGCCAGGAUGGUCUGGAUCUCCUGACCUCGUGGUCUGCUCGCCUCGGCCUCCCAAAGUGCCAGGAUGACAGGCGUGACCCACCGCGCCCGACCCAAAGUGCUGGGAUUACAGGUGGUCUGGGAGGCGGGCAAAGCCGGCCUGGAGGAGUGUCUGGUGACUGAAGUACAGGUCGUGCAGAAAACUUGAGACUGGGGUUCAGGGCCUGUCUCAAUCUCCCUGGCCGGGCCAGGCGCCUGCACAGACUGGCUGCUGGACCUGUGCACACAGCCCAGGAAUGGACGUUCCUAAUGGGUGCUGGGCAUGGCAGAUGCCUGUGUAAUUUAGUCCGAAGCUGCCAGGAAGAGGAAAGAACAGAACUUUGUGUGUUUAUUUCAUGAUAAAGUGAUUUUUUUUUUACCCA